GCCACUGCUACACUACGAUUCCCUCUUUCCACGACACAUCUCCCAAACCUUCCUCCGCCUCGGGCUAUUCCAGCAAGAAGCCGCAAAUCCCGUUUUCCAACCCGCGAGUUUCUGAGAUGCCGGGCACCCUCACUCCCCGGCGGAGCUGGAAGGGAAAAAUUCCGACCGGGGGUUCCAAGAUAACACGACCUUCCCCCUCCAGUCUUGCCCCGACGCGCGCUGCCCAUCUGAAGGAGGCAUGACCAAACAGGUGUCUGUAGAAGCUUUGGAGCUGUUAUCUCAUCAUACUGUAUGUCCUGCUCUGGGGAUGUCUUUUCAUCUACCUACGCAUCUCGGCCCUGCUUCCCAAGCUGUCUCCAAGUGAUAUCAAGUCUAAGUUUGCUGUCUGGGCAGCUGGUUUCAGACCCCCACUGGUUGCAUAAGCAUUGUAGCUAUGCUGGCUCUGCCUGGGGAUCAUCUGAUGCUUUAAAACUUUAGUUAACAAAGUACAAGUUCUUAAUUGCUUAUAGA